CAUGGAGCCCCUGCCCUGUCUCCCACUCAUUGAACUGACUCUUUAAUAAUGGAUCCAGUGACUGCAAAUGGAAAUGCAGCCAUAUUAGCUGCGUGGCUGCACCACUUGUUCAUUGUCUUCCCGUUCUUCCACAAAUGAGGAGGAUCACCAAGGAUACACCAACAAUUACAUUCUCUUCAUUUAAUCUCAGACAGAGCUUCCAAACUGGCCCUUCCUGUCCAUCCCCGUUGUCUAGUCUUCUUGAAGCCCUGAAAAUGUGUUCAUGCCGUGCUACAAAGUACUGUCGACUUAGUCCCAACCCACAUUUCCAGUCUCAUUUCCCGGAAGAAGGUGUGGCUGAUAUCCAGCUGUUCUAGACAUUUUGCCACCCAGGGUCUAUCACAAAUUGUCCGGGUCUCAGAGAAUAUCAGCUGCUGGCAGACGGGAAUGGAAUUUGACUCAACAGACAUUUAUUGCACUCCAGCUGUGUGCCAAGACAUGCCCUGAAAUCUGGGAGUGUGCAACACAGGGGAAGAAAAGACUCAUUGCCAAGGAGCUUUCGCCUAGGAGGAAAUUGCGUUUGCACAUACCCAUCUGUUAUUUUUAACCUCUGGGGAUGAUUGUGAUAAAUAGGGUCUCCAUGAGCCGCACGAGGAACAGGUGGUAAGCCUGCAUACCCAUUUGAUAACCCUUCCUUUUUGAAAUGCAGGCCAAGUCUGAGUUAGAAGUCAAAGCCUUCCUUGAGUUUUAUUGCUUUUAGGACUUUUACAAUGGCUUUUCUAUCUUUCCAAUAAUACAUUUACAUUUUCUGAAGACAAUGUGUAUCUGGAGAGGAUCAUUAUGUACUCAAAUCAACAUUUUUGAAAAAUGGAUCAGAAAGAAAUUUUCAUGUUGUAUCCCAGACGAGCCCAGACUGGGUUCCAGAAAUUUUUUGCUGAAUGGUUUUUGCAAUAGGAAGGACUGUGAAUCUUUUUUUUUUUUUCCAGCUGGAAGGACUUUCGAUGACCACCAUUUUGCUUUUUCUCUUCCUUUUAAAAUUCCUACUGUGUGCCAGGUGUGGUUGUCAGCACUGUGUCUUCACAGCAGCCCUGCAAAGGAAGUAUUUUGCUCUUGUUGUUAUUUUACAGAUGAGGAAAAUGAAGACGCCCCCAAAUUUAGUGUCUUACCUUAGGUCUUGUUGUUCUGAUAAGUGGUCCCACUGGUAUUUGAACUUGGGUGAGUCCACAUGAAAGUCAAGCCUCUCAUUUUGCAGAUGAGUGAGCUGAAGUCUCAAGGUCACUUGCCUCUUUGGUUGCAGAUCUUGGGGCGCAGGUCUUCUGAAUUUGUGAUGAGUAUGCUUUGUAUGACAAGAGGGUCACCCCUGAGGAGUGACUCCUGCCUCUAGUCUCUUCCCUUUUCAAUGCAUCCUGCAUACAGUCACCCUACAACCUACCCCCAGGUCCCCCAGCCCCCAAAUCUAUGCUUGUGGUUUCCCAAAAACUACAGAUGAUGGCCCAAGGCUGUGUCCAUCCUGAUCUCUAACAUCUGGCGUGGACCCCACAAUCCAGCCACAUGGAACCCCUACAGUCCCCUGCAUGAAUAAGAUAUAUGCUCUCCUGUCUCCAUCUUUAUUCACCUUUCCCACUUGUUGGCAUACCCUCUUCUUGCCAGAUCUAUAGGUCCAAAUACUACCUGUCUUUCAGGUCCAUCACAAAUGCCACUUCCUUCAUGAAGCUUAUUAUGUCCCAGAGUUGUAUAGGAUCUGUUGCUCUUCCUGAGGGAUAAGAGACAGGGUGGGGAAAAAAAGGGAAGAGAGGAUGGAUGGAAAUCAAGAGAGUAGAUAUGAAGCUGGAGAUGGGUGCAGAGAUGGAUGACCCCAAGGAUAAUCAAGAUAAACAAGAGUGGUGGCUUAUUGAGUGCUUACUGUGUCUUGGAAUAGUGCAAUGUCAUCAUCUCCUUAAAUCCUCACAGCAAGUCAUUGGAUUGCUACAGUGGGGAUUCAAGCCUACUUCUGCAUGAAGUCAAAGCCUAUGCUGUCCCUCAUCGUUGUGUUGUUUCCCAAGACAAUUGGGCGUGGUGCAGAAAAAGAAUGGAGCAAUCAUCAAAAUGGAAGAUUAAAGAGAUGAAACAAAAUUGGGGGCAUGGACUGAGACAAUGCAGCAAGGGACACUGGAAUUGGAAGACAUGAGUGAGGGACAUGGCCAGAGUGGAACUCUCUUAAGGCUUGUGGCGUUCAGUCCCUGGACACUUUGUCAUAACAAGGCAGCUCAGUUGGCAGUGAUCAUCUGGGCACGGGGACCACAUUCAUGGCUUGCAUAUCUUGCUUUGUGUUUUGGGGUUCGGGCUCCCAAGCUCCCUGAAGUCAGGGAUCGUGUCUAUGCCUUUUUGAAGUAGAGACACAGUCCAUCCUACCAAGUGGCCACAUGGGAGGCACAGAGAAGCAAGCAUCUCUGUGCCCAGGCAUGCAGGGAGGUUUCCCAGGGAGAUGACGGGUCCAGGUAGAGAAGGGAGACAGGGUGUGGGAAACUCAAGGUAGAGGCCAGAGUACAUGUUUAGGGAAGGAAGCCGGGAAAGUCAGGGGAGCCGUGUUUAGGGGUUUGCCCAAAGUAUAAGUCAAGAGCAAACAGUAGGAGGAAGUAAGGCUGGGGAGGCAGCUCCUGGAGGGGCACAGAUGUAAAAGCCAAUCCCCCACCCCAUAUGCUUUCAACCCACCCACCCCAGACUACUCCCAUCUCCCUGCUGUUUAACAUGUUGUCUUGUUUCUGAGCCUUCUGUAGGAACAGGAUACCCUUCCUUAUACGUUUAGGUAUUCUGCUGAACUUUGAAGGCAUUUUAGACAUGUGUGCUGUGCAUUGGCCCUCUCAGAAUUCAGUGUCUCCUUGGAAGUGUCUUUUCUGCCUCUCCAUUCUAGCACUGGUCACACCAUUUUGUCUGUCCUCCUUACUAUUGUGAGAGUUUCUUUGGGGGGAAAAUUUUUGUCUUCUCUGCAUCCCCAAUGCCAGCACAUGGUAGGUACUCCUCACAUUUUGUUGAUGGAAUAACUCCAGUCUAGCAUUCAUGUGUUUUUCAGGCAGACAGAGUGAACGGUCAGUGGGGACCCAUGACUCUGGGAACAGAGGGGCAUUUCCCUAUUUGCUCUGUGGAGGCCUAUGAGGGCUGCUCAUUGUUACGGCAGUCCGGCCUCCCGCUCACCCGGACUCCUUUCCUCCUCUGGUACCUGCCUACCAGGCCAUGUAAUUUCUCCACAUUUUUCCCCUUUGUCACCUUUUUUUUUUCUUUCCUGCAAGGAGUGUAGCAAGCCCUCAGGAGUUUGAUUAUGUUGCAAGAUGAAUAAGAUAUUUGAAUUAUGCUAUUUAAAUGAGUCAUCUCAACCCUAGUGUAAUUGUUCAGCCCCUGUCACGCUAAACGUGAUCUACAUUUCCAAAAGAGUGCUUUUGGCCUGAAUAGGGAAUUGCUGAAAUUGUUGGGUUCCAGUUCUCAGUGGCUUACGAUUUGCAUCACAGGGUAUGUCUUCUGUUCCACAUCUUGGCAGAUGUGGACUUUUAAAUGGUCACUCCCCAGAGCUACCAGAACAAGCUGCAUAUAUUUACACAAAAGAAGUUGAACUGAUUUUCUGGAUGUUUGUGUGUGUGUGGUGUGUGUAAAGGGGGCAGAGAGGAGCAGGAGAGUGCAGAGUGGUGAAGAAGAUAGUGCCUGAUCUUGGCUAAGCAGUGUCGCAACACAUAGGUGAGCUGAAGCUCAACAGAUUUAGAUUUUGCACUUGUGGCCUGAAAUCUCCUUGUUUUGCAUAUCCUUUUUGAGGGUUCUGGUCACUCUGAAAACUCAGCCUGCAUUGAUGGCCUCAAUUUGGAUCACCCGGGUGGCCCCGAUAUGCCUUAGCAUUUCUUCAUCUUGGAGCUGAGCUGCGGGGCAGGAUUCUUACACUGCCCGAAUGGAGUGGGGCACAUUUCCCUUCAUUGUGCAUUUCUUUUAGUGAAGAGAGCAUGAUUGAUGGUCAGACUGUGAAACAUAACUCCAAAGCCACUUCUCAAAGUUUGUGAAGAUCUUAGAAACUGGUGGUUAUGCUGUCUCAGACUCUUCAAUUACUCAGACUCCAUGAAUUUGAGUCAUAGCCCACUGGACGAGGACCACACUGAGAUGAAAAAAGAGUUAAACUUUUUUAAGGGGUGAGCAGUAUUCCUAAAGUGAUAGAUAAAGUCAGGUGUUACAGUCACUCAGCGGAUAUUGAUUGCGUGCCCAUGAAUCAGGCAUAUGCUCAGGGGCUGGUAAUACAAGAGAAACAGGCCCUUGAGGUCCCUGCCCUCAAUAAGUUCACAGUCUAGUGAGGUUGAUGGGCAUGCAAAUGGUUACAACAUAAUGCAGGCAUGUAAGAAAUGCUGUGGGAAAUUAAGACAGCAGAGUCUGCUUGAGAAGACUGGGCAAAGUUUUAAAAAGGAGGAGCUACUUUUGUUGGAACUUGAAGGAUGAGUGGUGGUGUUUACCAGGGUGAAUAAUUUGGUGCGGGUAUUCUAGGCAAAGGCUAGGGUGGCUAGAGCCUUGUGUGUGGUGGUGGAGCUAAGGCAGUUGGAACAUGAAGGACCUUGUGUGCCAAAAGAUGCAUGUUAGUUUUACACUGUAGAUGUGUUAGGAUGUGUUCAGCUGCAAGGAACAGAAAUCCCCAAUAUUACUGGCUUAAACAUGAAGAAAAUUUAUUAACAUGUAUAAUGUGUUCAAAGGCAGGGAAAUUCCAAGAUGGCUGAAUUCAGUGGCUCAACUCUGUCAUUAAGGACCUGGGCUCUUUCCACUUUUCUGCUCUGUCAUCCUUGGUAUGACGGUUUAUCCUCAGACUUGAUGAUUGAAGAGGAAGAGAGGUUUGUUUCUUUGUUUUCUGUCCUGAUGUGUGUCUUUUUAAUCAGUGAGAAAAAAUUUUCUUAAGAAGCCCCCCAUUAGACUGAUCCUCAUGCCUCAGUGACCAAAACUGCAUCAUAUGCCCAAUCCUAAACCUUUCUCUGGCCAAGGGAAUGCAACCACCAUGACUGGCUCAGCCCAAUCUUGACCCCCCUGGAGGGGACAGCCCCACUUCUUCUGAAGUACAUGGCCAGGUAGAGGAUACUGGAACAAAAUUAGGCUUCUGAUAGAAGUGGGAGAAAGGGGACAAAUGGUUGCUGAGUUGGUAACCAACAGCAUUUUCUACAGUAGCAAUGAGAAACUGUUGUAGACAAUUGAGCAGGAGCUGGCAUAAUUGGGUUUUUCAUUCUCCCCAAAGCCAGAGCACAUAGAUGUAUAUCCUAGUAGUAAGUCAUUCUAGUUCUUCUAUCUGGGAUGCUGCCACAGCAUGGCUUGAUGAGUGGUGUAUAGGUCCAUGCCCAGGAUCUGAACCUGCGAACCUCGGCCACAGAAGCAGGGCAUGUGAACUCAACAACUACACCACUGGGUCAGCCCCUAAUGAGCUUUACAUCUCAAAAAAAAUCACCCUGUCAUUAGUGUAGAGUUUAAUUUUGUAGAUAGAAAAACUGCAAACAAAUGGAAUAAUUUUAUCAGAAGUCAAGGAACGGCUCAACAUCUCUUUGGAACUGGAGGUAAAGUUUUCCUUGAGCCAUGCCCUCUACCUUAAGGAUGGGAGGGGUGCAGGGUGGGAUGUGAUUAGUGCAGAGGAGAGGCUUUCCAUCCUGGACUUGCCAAGGAAUUCUUUAUGGUACUGUGGCGAGUGUGCAACCUCUUUGCAGUCCAGAUGACAAUGCCAUCCACUCAGAAGGGCAGCUGUAAUCCUAGGAUCCCAGCAAGCUGGAGCUGGAGGCAAUCUUAAAGUCCUUUAGUUCAAGACCUUUAUUUUACAAAUGAGGAAACUGGUACCCAGACAAGCGGAGUGACUUGUUGAGUUCCUAUGUCUGGUACGUGGCUGAGCUGGAACCACACCCACAGAUUCUCCUCACUCCCAGCCCUGUGCUCUUUGUCCUGGGUUCUCAGGGCCAUUUUGAUGGAGGCUUAUGAGUGCAUUCAGGAGUUCUGAAAAGGCUCUGAAGACUCUCUUCCUAUGUUUCUAUUAUCCUUGACAGCAAUCCUAUUGUUGGAAUUAAAAAAAAAAUAAUGUUUUGGUUUCUAUAAAAAUGCAAACAAUACUGGUAGGUACAAUGUUUAAGCUCUCUUAUUAUUCAUUUAUAAUAUGAUCUUAGCAUGAAUGUGUUCCUCUGGUUCUUUCUUUGAAGCUGUUUUAAUGGGGAAUGAGGAUGUAGCCUUUGGGGCCCUGGGAACCCGAGAGAGGAAAGGAGGCCCUAAGAAGAAGCCCUAAGAGGUGGGGUGGGAGACUUGAGGGCUCAUUACUUUGAUGAGGGCGUUCCCAGUGACAAAAAGCCAAAGAAGACACUAAAUAAGAAGCUUGGUGGCUGAGACAUUCAUGAGUGGUAAUCAGUGUGCUGGUGUGCGGUGGAACCUCUGGGACAUUUUUCUUGGUGACUCAAGCAUCUAUUUGCAGUGACCCAUCACACUCUGUCUCUACUCUCUCCUUCGGCCUUCAGCGUCUGCGUGCCUUUACUCCCCAGAGCACCCUCAGUCCUGGCCAGAACUUUUGCCUGGAAUCCUCUGAAAACUCACCCUUGUGGACAGGCACAAAGAAGAAAAAAAAAGCUGAGUAAAAACUAGAGAUGCUUUCAACAGCAAGAUUUUACUGACCAAGUGCUAUGUGCAAAUCACUAAGCUGAAUGAAAGACGUGUAAAAUCCACUUAUUUUGACUUUGCUCUUGAAAAUAUUUCUAAAGUGAUUUGGUUUACUUUUCUGGUAGUAUGCCAAACAUUGUAAAACUGUUAGUUUUAGAUGUGGAUGGUGAAUAAAGAUUGGGCUGAAUCUGUAUAGACCUGGGCAUCCUUGGAUAUGGUGUAAAAGAUGAUCCUGUUUCUGUAAAACAAAUAAUGAAAAGAGAAAAAAGCCCUGUAUAUCUAUGUGUGUCUGUAUAGGACUGUUUAAGCCUAGAGAAACAUGUAAAAGGAUGUCUGUGAAGUUGCUCACAUGGGUGACUCGGCUGGGCAGUGCUGAGGUGCCAGAAGAGGAGGGCUGGGCCAGGCCAGACAAAAUGUAGGAGAAAAGGGGAACUGAAAAGCCGUGUACAAAAUGCUAUUUAUGUAAAUAUAUGUGUGGAAAUAUGCUCAAAAAAUUGAAUAAAAUACUUUUAAAAAGUGA